GUUGAUUUCGCUUCCGGAGUCCGGAAAUAAAGAAACUCAAGCAGCCAUCCUCGCUGGGGAGUUUCUGUCUUGCACCGCCCUCCUAGCGAUUAUUUUCAACACCCGCCCAACUGAGCCUCCUGAACCUGCUGCCAGAGCGAGGGCCCAUCUUCUGCCGCCACUCACGACUUAUUUACACCUCGCAGAGACAGUGCAAAGGAACUGCUGCGGUGUUCCUCCCUCCCCCUUCAGGAGCAUUUCUGGGCUGGGAACAACUCCACGCACGCAGAUG